AUAGAGACUCAGAGCUGCAUUAUCAAUAAGCGGAGGAAAAGAAACUAACAAGGAUUCCCCUAGUAACGGCGAGUGAAGCGGGAAGAGCUCAAAUUUGAAAUCUUAAAGGGUUUCCCUUUACGAAUUGUAGUUUAAAGAAGUGUUUUCUGUUGGAGUUUCGGUAAAAGUUCUUUGGAAUAGGACAUCAUAGAGGGUGAGAAUCCGUAUUUGACCGUUACUUUCCAGCUGUGUGAUACACUUUCAAAGAGUCGGAUUGUUUGGGAAUGCAGUCCAAAACGGGUGGUAAAUUUCAUCUAAAGCUAAAUAUUGGCGAGAGACCGAUAGCGAACAAGUACCGUGAGGGAAAGAUGAAAAGAACUUUGAAAAGAGAGUUAAACAGUACGUGAAAUUGUCAAAAGGGAAGCGUUUGACACCAGUGUUGUUUAGUUGAAAAUCAAUUCAAUAAUUUUUGAUUUUGAGUAGUAUUGACUUCAUCAGCUUGCUGCUUUCUUUUCGGAAAUUAUUGAAUGCACUUUUCAGUUAACAAGUCAACAUCAAUUUCUUUUGUUGUAAAAGGGUAAGAGGAAGGUGGCUUACGCUUCGGCGUAAGUGUUUAUAGCCUUUUACCUCUGCAAUCGGAGAGAUUGAGGACAGCAGCGUAGACUCUUCGGGGUUAGAUACUCUUGUGCUAAGCUAUAGCCUUGCAUAGACAACUUGUUGACUAUGCUCAGUCAUGUAGCUUACCCGCUUGUGCUAUUGUACCUACGCUUAGGAUGUUGAGUAGCGACAUACGCAC
rnacentral:rRNA from 1 species